GAUGAACGCUAGCUACAGGCUUAACACAUGCAAGUCGAGGGGAAACGAUAUUGGAAGCUUGCUUCCGAUAGGCGUCGACCGGCGCACGGGUGAGUAACGCGUAUCCAACCUGCCCAUCACUUGGGGAUAACCUUGCGAAAGUAAGACUAAUACCCAAUGACGUCUCUAGAAGACAUCUGAAAGAGAUUAAAGAUUUAUCGGUGAUGGAUGGGGAUGCGUCUGAUUAGCUUGUUGGCGGGGUAACGGCCCACCAAGGCAACGAUCAGUAGGGGUUCUGAGAGGAAGGUCCCCCACAUUGGAACUGAGACACGGUCCAAACUCCUACGGGAGGCAGCAGUGAGGAAUAUUGGUCAAAUGGGCGAGAGCCUGAACCAGCCAAGUAGCGUGCAGGAAGACGGCCCUAUGGGUUGUAAACUGCUUUUAUAGGGGAAUAAAGUGAGCCACGUGUGGUUUUUUGCAUGUACCCUAUGAAUAAGGACCGGCUAAUUCCGUG
rnacentral:rRNA from 1 species